rnacentral:rRNA from 1 species
UACGAAGGGUGCAAGCGUUGUUCGGAUUUACUGGGCGUAAAGCGCGCGCAGGCGGAUAAAAAAGUCAGGUGUGAAAUCUCGGGGCUCAACCCCGACACUGCGCCUGAAACUCUUUAUCUAGAAUCUUGGAGGGGGUAGGGGAAUUUCUCAUGUAGGGGUAAAAUCCGUAGAGAUGAGAAGGAACACCGGUGGCGAAAGCGCCUACCUGGACAAGAAUUGACGCUGAGGCGCGAAAGCGUGGGGAGCAAACAGGAUUAGAUACCCUGGUAGUCCACGCCGUAAACGAUGAGUACUAGAUAUAGCGGAAUUUGACUUUCGCUGUGUCGAAGCUAACGCGUUAAGUACUCCGCCUGGGAAGUACGGUCGCAAGACUAAA